rnacentral:ribozyme from 11 species
GUGUUUCACCAUCUUUGAUUAUUCUGUUGUGUAUUUCGUUGUAAAAUCACAGGUGAACGUUAGAGACCGUGUUCGAAUUGGAUAAAAAUGUCAACGAAUUUUGACUUCGUU